rnacentral:rRNA from 1 species
CCUACGGGCGGCAGCAGUGAGGAAUAUUGGUCAAUGGACGCAAGUCUGAACCAGCCAUGCCGCGUGCAGGAAGACGGCUCUAUGAGUUGUAAACUGCUUUUGUACGAGGGUAAACGCAGAUACGCGUAUCUGUCUGAAUGUAUCGUAUGAAUAAGGAUCGGCUAACUCCGUGCCAGCAGCCGCGGUAAUACGGAGGAUUCAAGCGUUAUCCGGAUUUAUUGGGUUUAAAGGGUGCGUAGGCGGUCUGAUAAGUUAGAGGUGAAAUCCCGGGGCUCAACUUCGGAAUUGCCUCUGAUACUGUUCGGCUUGAGAGUAGGUGAGGUAGGCGGAAUGUGUGGUGUAGCGGUGAAAUGCUUAGAGAUCAUACAGAACACCGAUUGCGAAGGCAGCUUACCAAGCUACUUCUGACGUUGAGGCACGAAAGCGUGGGGAGCAAACAGGAUUAGAUACCCCAGUAGUC